rnacentral:rRNA from 1 species
CCUACGGGGGGCUGCAGUGAGGAAUAUUGGUCAAUGGCCGGAAGGCUGAACCAGCCAUGCCGCGUGAAGGUCAGUGCCCUAUGGGCGUUAAACUUCUUUUGUGCGGGAGCAAUAAUGGUCACGUGUGGCCAGACGAGAGUACCGUACGAAUAAGCAUCGGCUAACUCCGUGCCAGCAGCCGCGGUAAUACGGGGGAUGCAAGCGUUAUCCGGAUUUAUUGGGGUUAAAGGGUGCGUAGGCUGUGGUGUAAGUCAGCGGUGAAAUGCCCCCGCUCAACGGGGUGAAGUGCCAUUGAUACUGCCUUGCUGGAAUGCGGAUGCCGUGGGAGGAAUGUGUGGUGUAGCGGUGAAAUGCAUAGAUAUCACACAGAACACCGAUUGCGAAGGCAUCUUACUAAACUGCCACUGACAUUGAUGCUCGAAAGUGUGGGUAUCAAACAGGAUUAGAUACCCUUGUAGUC